GGGGAUGUACAGGUUUCGACAGGUAUAUGGAACGAAGAUAAGCGAGCCGUGGUGGUGAUCCACGUUAAAAGUACCCGUUCAAAAGAAACGCAAAAAGAAACAACAAUUUCGCACUGGCUGCAUAGUCAGCCCCGCGUGUCGCCCCUUGCUCACCUGUAGGCAUGGGAUCCGGCAUCAUUUAUACAGGAAAACCUUGCGUGAUUUCCCGGUAGCGUAAGGGACUUACGGGAUAGUUUUGUGGCAAGUCCGCCGUCGAGCCUUGUCACAGGCGAAUAAAGAAUCACGGCUGCGCUCGGAGAAAGUUUUCCGGAAGUAUUCUUGGACGCGAGUUCGAUUCUCGCCAUCUCCACCA
rnacentral:tmRNA from 1 species